rnacentral:lncRNA from 1 species
GUCCCUCCCCCAACCACCCCGAACGGAUAGACAGCCAUGAAAGAGGCUGACACCUGCACACUCAGGCACGACUUAAAAUAGAACUUGUCAAACAGUGAUCCUCUCUGGAUCAAGCUCGGAACAACAAACAGCUCUUGAACUCGCCUCCCAGCCUAAAAAGACUGCAGUGUGUGACACUGUGGGGUAGUUUGGUGGGAACGACAAAUCCCACACUUUCAAAAUCCUGACAAUCCUCAGCCCUAUCCUUCUCAUCUCCCCUACUGAAGUUCUUGCCAGUGGAAGUGCCGUUUUCAUGAAUAUAUUCAUGUUCCCACCCAGAUGAAAGUGAUCUAAGGCAAGGCGCGGUGGCUUACGCCUGUAAUCCCAGCACUUUUGGAGGCCGAGGCAGGCGGAUCACGAGGUCAGGAGAUUGAGACCAUCCUGGCUAGCACAGUGAAACCCAUCUCUACUAAAAAAUACAAAAAAUGAAAAACAAAAAAUUAGCAGGGCGUGGUGGCCGGCGCCUGUAGUCCCAGCUACUUGGGAGGCUGAGGCAGGAGAAUGGCGCGAACCCGGGAGGUGGAGAUUGCAGUGAGCCAAGAUCGGGUCCCUGCACUCCAGCCUGGGCGACAAAGUGAGAUGUCGUCUCAAAAAAAAGAAAAAAAAGAAAGUGAUCUAAAACACUGUACCCAAUUCCACUUUUAAAAAAAUAUUUUUCUUUCAGAUAGCAUAGGUUGACAAAUUUUCACUUAAAUAGUUUCCCUCUUCUCUGCCUCCUUUGCCAAGAGUAAGAAAUUCAUGUUAAUAUAUGUAGUCAACUACACAACUCCUUCAGUGAAAUUCAAAAAGAAAGAAAAACUAUAUAAAAAAUGUUUUCACACUAACAAACUUUGAGCAGUAAAUUUCUUUUAGUUUUGCGCAGACAUCUAUUUUACCAUAGUUGCCAUUGUAGUUGGUAUACAUAGGCUAGAGAAAGAAAAGUAUGUUAAAGAAAGGAGUUUAUUUAAUUUUUACUGGCUGCUUAAUUGUUUAAAAUUGUAGCUGUCACACACUGAUUAUCUCUUUUCUGCCACACACUUUUAUAUGUGUUAUUUCUAAAUCCUUACCAUAGUUCUUCAAGUAAGUUAUUAUCCCCAUACUAGGACACUGGUCUAAAGAGAGGUUCAGUCAGUUUUGUGAAGUCACACUUAAGGAAGUGACACAAUUAGGAUUUGAUCCUAGUUGUGACUGGCUGAAGCCACAGCUCUACUCCUAUCCCACACUGCCUAUACUGGGACCCAGACCAAAGCCAUUACUAAUUUCUACCAAAUGGACCAGACAGAAGAUACUAAUGAGACCAGGAAAGGUCAUUUAAAAUUAACAUCAUCAUUUUUUGUAUGUAUAUUUGAAAGCGCCCCACCAAGAAAUGAUAUCUGGAGCCAAUCUGGUCUUAUAUCUCUUAUCUAUGCCUAGAAAGGUUCAGAAAAUGCUAUUAGCCUUUCUAUUUCCUGGAAAUCAUUUUAAUCCUGGACAAAAAUCACUUGGAAUAAACAAAUUAUUUUUUAUUCAUUAAAAUUAACCAAAAUUUAAUUUCAUUCUCAUAUUAGUAUAUCGUUCCUUAUUAUGCUUUUCUGGAAAAAAAUUUGUAAUCUAGUCCUUGUUUAAAAAGGUUAUGAUUACAUAUCUAUAUAUUUAUAAUAAAAAAUCACACACCCUGGGUAAUGGGAGAGAAGAAAUGCUGUGAGGAAAUAUCCAAGGAUCCUUUGGAAUAGGUAUCUCAUUAUUAGAAUCUCUUCAAAAUAGGUGACAGCAUGUUUACCAAACUCUAGCUCAACUGAGAAACUUCAUAGAACAAUCUGAGCCUAGUAGUGGUGCAUAAAGUUUUAGAAUAGAGCCUUUCUCUGCUGCUAGCAGCCAUGGAUUAACUGGUGGAAGAAUGGCUUGAAAUAGCUACUUCAUUGUCCAAUUAGCAGGUCCAUUGUCAUGGAGACAAUUGGAGGUUUAUACUUUGAUUUCCCAGAACUAUAAUGUAUCUCUUUUCACUUAACAGACAGAAGGGUCAGGAUCGGAAAAGAGAGGUAAAAAGAAAGAACACAGUAUCUGACCCGUACCUUCUACCUGAGAGUCUAAACUUAAAUAUUCUGGAUUAUCCAUUAUAUGUAACCCCUUUGUUGUUAAUGUAAAAGCAAAUCUUAAAGAAUUAAGAUGCUUAAUCAUAUUUAUUAUUUAGGGUUCUGUUAAAUACACACAAAUGUGUAUAUAAAACUUCAUUUCUGUCUGGCUGAUCUAAAAUUGUGAGAAGUAAAUGAAAUGUGAUAUGUUAGCCACAGCUUUAUCACUAGUUUCUCUGUUUAUAUUAAAACAAGCUCAGCCAGAUUUCUUUUGCAGUGGCAAGAGCACAUAACAUAAUGUGUUUCAGGCUAUUUGCAUCCAGUGAGGCAUAGUAAGCAUAGUGGGCACCUGGUUUGCCCUGCCCUCAUAAUUCAUACCACAGUGUUUUCUUUCAUAAGCACAAGAGAGCUCACAUGAUUACAUUAUAAAAUAAAACAUUUCUCCCAAACAUUUCACUGGUUUGUUUUGUUUUGUUUUGUUUUGUUUUUUGCCAUCCCCAUUCUAAUCCCAAAUAAUCCUUCAAAUUAUGGUGUAGUGGCUAAAAGAAUCGGUUUUGAAUUUAGGUAGAUUGGGUUCAAAUCCAGAAAAAUUACUUAUGAGCUUAUUUCUGAACCUGUAAAAUAUACAGUAGUUCUCCCUUAUCUGAGCUAAAGACAUUCCAAGACCCCCAAUAGAUGCCUGAAACUGCAUAUAGUACUGAUCCCUAUACCAAACACAGGCAGAUAAUUUUUUUUUUAUUUUAUUACUAUUAUACUUUAAGUUUUAGGGUACAUGUGCACAAUGUGCAGGUUUGUUACAUAUGUAUACAUGUGCCAUGUUGGUGUGCUGCACCCAUUAACUCAUCAUUUAGCAUCAGGUAUAUCUCCUAAUGCUAUCCCUCCCCCCUCCCCCCACCCCACAACUGUCCCCAGAGUGUGAUGUUCCCCUUCCUGUGUCCAUGUGUUCUCAUUGUUCAGUUCCCACCUAUGAGUGAGAACAUGCGGUGUUUGGUUUUUUGUCCUUGCGAUAGUUUGCUGAGAAUGAUGGUUUCCAGUUUCAUCCAUGUCCCUACAAAGGACAUGAACUCUUCAUUUUUUAUGGCUGCAUAGUAUUCCAUGGUGUAUAUGUGCCACAUUUUCUUAGCCCAGUCUGUCAUUGUUGGACAUUUGGGUUGGUUCCAAGUCUUUGCCAUCACGAAUACACAGGCAGAUAAUUUUUGUUUUUGUUUGUGAGAGCACAUGGGUUCUCUCUGUACACUAUGCCUGGCUUUAUCGUAUGCCCUGCAGCGUUGCCACAUAGCACCAGAGUUAAUCUGUUCUUCCAUGUUUUAUGCCCUGAUGCCUCCUUUACACUUCUGUGAAUGUAGGUUCUAUUAGGCAUCUCCUUCCAGAUGAGCCUGGUUUCAUCAUAAUUGAAGACUUGCUUUGAAUGGUAUCCUUUCUCCUUAAUCAAUUUCAUCAACUCUGCCAGAAAUGUGGCAGUAGCUUCAUCAGCAGCAGAUGCAGCCUCUUCAAUAAUUUUUAUAUUUUUCAGUACAAACCUAUUCCUGAAUCUGUGUACCCAUCUUUUACUUGCUGUAAAUGACUGUUACUCCUUUUAGAGGAUCCCUUGCUGAAGUCUUCAGACAGGUUCAAUGUUCUCUGAUGGAACACGUUGUCAUCAAUUGGAACAUGUUUCUGUUCAUGUCUUCCACCCACAAAUGUAAUGCCUUUUCCAUCUUAACUAGCACUUAUCACCAAUGUGACCAUGACUUUUGCAGUUUGAAGUGUGACAACAAAACUAGCAAGAAAUUCUUUUAACUUCAAAUUUCAUGGAUAGAAAAUUCAUUCUUACAAUAGAUCUUAGCAAAUUCAGCAUACAAUUUUUUUUUCUUUUCUUAUUAAGAACUUUCACCAUUUCCCUUAAAGGAAGCACUUUAAGUUCUCUUUGGCAUACCCAAAUUGCCAGCAUCACUACUCUUGCACGUUGAGGUCAGUAAGUAAAAUAAGGGUUCCCUGAACACAGCACUGCGAUAUUGUGACAGUCCAUCUGAUAGCCAAGAUGGCUACUAAGUGACUAAGGGGCAGGUUGCGGGUACAAUGAGGACACACUGGACAAAGGGAUGAUUCACGUCUCAGGCAGGAUGCAGUGGGAUGGUGCAAUAUUUCAUCAUGCUACUGAGAAUAGCAUGAUAUGUAAAACGUAUUAAUUGUUAUUUCUGGAGUUUCCCAUUUACUAUUUUCGGACUAUGGUUGACCAUAAGUAACCAUGGGAUAAGGGGGAAAGCAAAACCAUGGGAUAAGGGGGUACUAUUGUAACUACCUCACAUGUAUUGCUUGGAGGAUUUACAGAGAUAACACAUAUAAAGCAUUUAGCCAGUGCCUGUAAUAAGUGCUCAACAGGUGAUAGAAGUGAUUAUAGAUUCGUGCCAAAAGAGGGCUUAAUACAGUUUUUGUGAGUUUUCAAAUUACAUAAUUAAAUACACUAAUCUCCACUUAUUUUCUCUUCAUUCAUUAACUUGGCUUUCCCUUCUUCAAAGAGCAAAUAGGACAUCAGUGUCUUCUUUAGUGUUUUGUUUGUUUAAUGAAUAGCCUAAUAUAUAUUCAACGUUAGUUUAUCUUACGAUAGCCUUAAUGAUUUCCAUCCCUAUCUCAAACUUAAAUGUUUUAUCCCUUUAAUUACAUUAAGUAAAAUUGGCAAUAUAACUUUUCUUUUUGGUUUGCUAGUCAUAGGGAAAGAAGGCAUAUUAGAAACUAAGUAUUUUUCUCUGCAACUUUAUAAAAAUAAGAAGCCAAAAGAACAAAGACAUAAUAAUAACAAAAUACUUCCUUACAAUUUACUAGCCCAUGGAAGUAAACAGUCUACCAAAAUGUAUCUGAUGGUUUAAACCAGACUUUUCAAUAUCUAUUUCCUUUUCCUUUUCAUUAAAAAUAUUUUAUUACUGCUUUCUUUGUAAACAAGCUCAGUACUUUUAAGUUUAUGCCAAGACAGAGGGUUUUCCCUGAUUUCCUUCUUUAAAAGGACAGUGGCAUUUCAUGACAUUAACUUUUCCAAAUUAUUUCAUUGGUGUUUGUGUUGACAUUGACCCACAACACUGUGGCAGCAUUCAUAUGGUAUGCACUUCCUAGCUAUGGCUAAGAUUAUGCAUAUAGCUUCCAGUUUUUAAAAUGGGAGUCAACAACAGAUUUUUGUACCUCUACUUUCUUUUCCUAUCUGUUACCUCUUUGGAAUUGUCCUAUCCAGAAUAUUUAUAAAAGUCAUAAUGUCUUUAAGUAGUAUCUAAUAAGUAGCCUUCAUUCACUGGAAAUGUCAUAUGAUUAAUUUUUUCUUUAAAAAAAAUCCCUCUACUAAUGCCUAAACUGAAAACAUCUUGUACUGAAUCACUAUAAAACAUAUAUUAACUUUACACCUGUGGAUAUUACUGUUAACUAUUUUGAAAGAUAACUAUAAAGACAUAGUUUCAGCACUCUAAAAUUGGGAAAUGUAAUCUGUUUGACGUUUAAGUAAGAAAAAUGCCAAAGAAAAUAUAAUCACAUAUAACACAGAACAGAUUUAAGAGCAGAGAUGCAAUGGAACUUAGAAGGCAGCCACUACAAACAAAAAGUUGAUAUAAACAACAAAUAGUCAAUAUAAUUGAUACAUCAACCCUUUGAGCUUUGUGACCAUAAGCCUUAACCUAAAAUGAAAUACAAAUUUACUAAAUAAACUAGUAAAUUAAUAAUUUUUACAGUAGCAAUUCUGUAGCAUUCAUUUUAGAGUCAUCAGAAAACAUACUAAUGACCAUCCAGUGAGCAAAACAUGAAAUGGGAUAACUUUAAAGAGACAUUAUGUAUUUCUAACAAUACAUGUUUGUUAAAUACAUGAAUUCUAUGUUUAAAAGAUUGUGUGUCUAUUAAGUAAUAAAACAUAUAUGGCCUUUUUAAGAAGGUUAGAAAAACUAAAAAGGAGUUCAACUAAAGAGAACAAAAACUUUAAGUGAAAUACAUUGAAUUAAUGUAGUAUCUUAUAAAGUAGCACGUGCUAACUGAUUAUGCAACGAGAGCCACUCAUGUGGUAUCUAAUAAAUAGUCUUCAUUCACUAGAAACAUAAGAGCAUUUUGUAAAAGCCUAAAGGAGAACUAACAUUUUAUUCCUUACUACACGUAUCUAUUGAAUGUAUUUUGCAAGCCAUGUGUCAUUUCAAGGUACAGGAAAUAUAGUGGUAAAUGAAACAAAGUCCCUGUCCUCAUGUAGCUUAUAUUCUAAUAGAGGUCACAGACAAUAAACUAGUAAAAUGUAUAUAAAUAAUAUGAUUUCAGAAAAUGAUACUUUUAUAUGGUAUUUAUUUUUAUGAAAAAGAAUAGUCUUGUAGUAAUUUGUUAUACAAUUUUUUCCUGACUUUACAUUAGCACUACUUGAAAGCAGGGACUACAGCUUAUAAAUAAACUCUGCAGCAAUAUACUAUGCUCAUUGGUUGAUACAUGGUAAGUACUUGAUAAAUGUCUCAAGGAAAGAAAGGAGGAAAGAACUUAAAAGGUAAAAAUUCUAACAAUUCAAUACAUUCAAUAGUUUGAUACAGAUUACUUACAUUGCAAGGCAAUGUCACAUAUUAAAGGAAGAAAAAAACAAAAGGUUUUAAAGUCAGAAUAAAAUCAUUCCUCUAAAGGACUGCUAAAUUCCCUAAAACAUGAUUUUGGGGGAAUAAUAAGGUCCUCAAAACUAGCAUUCAAAGUAUUAAAUCGUCACUGUGGUGUUAAGUAAAUUAUUUGGCCUUUUUGAGUCUUGAUUUUCUUACCAAUGAAAUGGGAAUGAACAGCUCUCAUUAUAGAAAGGGGCUGUAAGCACAAAUGAGAUAAAUUAUGAUCCUUUGAAAAGUACAAAGUAUUACAGAGAAAGCAGUAGCAUUAAUUCUGGCAGCAAUCUGGAGUGGAGCAGUAAUUCCAGUAAUCUGGAAAUACAGGCAGUAGUGAGUCACAGCUGUAGACUCAGAGCAGGGAACUGGUUUGGAUAAAGUGCGUGACAAGUUGUGGGGAUGUUAAAAGGAGCCAGGCAGGUUCCAUGCCCAGAGCUAGUGGUCAGGAAUCAAUUGGCAAGGAAUCAAAACUGGUCACACAAGCCACAGUUGGGGCAAACCUGAAAAGACAGUUGCAGUGACCAUGGAUCCUCAAGAAUGGAAUAGGAAGGCAAUAUAAAGUUUGGUAAACAGUCAGGAAUCUGGAAAUGUGAUGAACAAAAAGAAGGAUAAUGUAAACAAGGGGCCAAAUUUGAGAUCCUCAAAAAUGCGGCAAGGCAGUUUUGUGCAUCAGCUCCAGUGUAUGUAUAAGGAUCCUUUGAAGGAAAGCAUUGACUCCUGAGGAGCAGGUGCUCAGGAUUACAUGGUUGAGGUAAGGGAAUGUAGGUGGAGCCAAACCAACAGUUUCUCCUCAAGAAAAUUCUGGCAAUAAAUAUCUUAGCCAGUUUUUAGAAGAAUCUUUCCAGUCAUCCAAUUUCUAAUUGGACAGCAAGAUAAAGCUUCAUCAAAUCUCUAGACAAAUUUCCCUUGGGAUUUACAUCAUGUUUUCAUGGUACCACAAAAUAUUUUGAAAGUAAAAAAACUCAGUUGGUGAUGUAUGCACUCAUUAUUAGAUCCUCAGUAUGUAUGGUUUCAGCUGUGAAUGAAAGCCUUGCCCCCUCUCUUGUUGACAUGAGUUUACUAAGUAAUUGGCUAAAGUAAAUUAAUGAAUCAAUUGUACUGUAGCAACAUGCAUGUGAAUGCUAGGCAAAACCCUCCUGUGGAUGGGAGAGAAUUACUGUCAUUAGGUAACUGUUUGUUUGCUUUCUAUCUCAACAUUCAAAACUGACCAAGGAACCCCACUAGCUAGACAUGUGUAGUGAUUACCAGCAAACCUCAGGCCAGGCUCACUCAGGACUGGCUACCCCCAGGAAGGAGGGGUGGCAUGCCAGUAAGGAACCUGGCCUCAGCAGCAAGUUGUUUUUUUCUGCAAGUAUCGUGUAUUUCUUCUCCAACCAAUUUUGUUCCCCUUGGUUCCUGGGAACCAUUAUAUCGUUAGGUUAAUGGACCAUUGGUUUAUCCACCUGUAUGUUGCCUGAAUUUUGGCCAUUCAACCAUGCAUUCCUGGUGAUUGGGUUUACAAGUACUAGUUUCCUAAGUCCAACAUCAUGUUCAGAUAUCUCGUGACGAUAAAUUGGUGUAGUAACCAUGGUAUGUCAGCAAAGAGAUGGCCCCACUCAUUAAAAAUAUGUUGGUAUUGGAGGCUUCAAAAACUUGUAUAUUUGUUACUGAUAUAUAGAACAAAUAAAUGGCCAAAUACAAAAUUGUGCAGAACCCAGAUUAUCUAGUAUCUAAUAAAGAAUUAAUAAAGAAUAUGUAUUAAUGUAGAUGUCUUUAUUUACAUAUUAAUGGCUUUUUUCAAAUUGGCCAAAUUUUUCAAAACAAUUACAUAUUAAAAAUUGAGAUACAUGGAAAUUCUAACAAUAGAUUUAUAGUCAUUCUUGGGGUGGGCAUUAACACUUUUUGGUAACUUCUGUAAGUUAAUUAUAGUUUAACUUCCUAAUUAAUUAAUUCUGUAUGUUAAUUUAUAGUUUAACUUCCUAGACGCUUUGGUGUCUUUUUUUACCCUCACUUUAAAAUACACACAAUAGUUUAAAUAUAUCACAUUUGGUCAAAAGUUCAAAUUAUUUUAUUAUUUAAAGCAUGUAGAAAAAAUAUAAUAGUUAAAAUUCCUGUGAAAAAUUCUAAUACAGAGGAAUCACAUGGCUAUGUUUGGAAAGAUAAUAUUUCUUUAAAAAUGUGUUGUUUUUUAUGUUUUAUGUUUGCGAUAAGCAUUACUGAAGUUUGAUUGAAGAACUUCAUGAUUUUUAUGUUUUACUUUCUUGUAUUGAGAAAUAGUGGUCCAUUGUUGGGCUGUAUUUAAAAUUAAUGUGUAUAAAACAAGAAAUAUUUAAUUAGAGUUAUUAAUUUUCCACAUUUAAUAUGUGUAUUUGACCUAAAUCAGUAUCUUCUAUCAUAUCAGCCUCACAUAUAACAAGAAUAAUCGCAAGGACAACAACAAAUUUGAAUGUUUCCUUUGUGCCUAUGCUCCUAUCAUGUUAUAUUCAUUCUUAUAAAUCUAACAACUAACAAUUAAUUUGAAGUUAGACACACAGGAUUUACUCAUCAGUAUUAGAGCAUUCACUGCUAGCCAAGAAGGUUACUAUCCCUGGUGCUGAAACUGCUCUGUGUAGUCCUUGUGGUUGAAGAAUUAAAACAGUUUCUCUUAGACAUUUCCUUUCAUUGAAAUUAUGAAUUGGAUAAAUGUUCAUACCUUAAAGGAAGUAUUAAAUUUCACAUAUGUUAACAUCUUAAUUAAUGUAAGAUUAAUAUUCUACUUAUGACUAUGUUUUAGUAUUGAAAAAUGAGUUUCUGAUGAGUUUCAUUAGUUUCUAGAGAAAACAAUGGUUUAAAAAAUUUCAGUACAUAAGACAUUGAGGAGUCUAUGAAUGUUCCAGAAAUCUGAAAACAUAUACCACUAAUCAAAGUUUCUCCAUUCAUGUUGACUAGCAUUUGCCUUAGGUGUCAGAAUUAAUGGAUUUGUGUUAAAAAUAAACACCUGAAAUCUAAUUCCCUAGCUGCAUUAUAACACACUAGAUUACAAGUACUAAGCUUUUAUUUAAUGCUUAUAACGGCUUUAAAUUGUAGCAAAAUGGGCUUCCCCCAAGAGGACUGCUUUGUUGAUCCUAAGAUGGGGUCAUAAGCCAGAAGUUAACUAUGCUUUCAUAUAUUCUUGUAAGUAGAAGUACAGUGUUGGUGUAAAUUCUCCUUAGAUGGAUAGGUAAGCCCAGAGGAAAUAAUGGUCAUUGGCACCAUAUGACCGUAUGCAAUUCAUAUGCAUAUUUAUAUCAAGAAAAGAACAUUAUAGGUCUGGUGAGACCCUAUUUUUUUCUGACAGUGUCAUCUGUAUUUACGUGUCUAUUUCGGGAAUUUGGAAGUCAAGGGAUUCUAUGCUGGAUUGUGAAGCAUCUGUUUCUGCUUGAUGUAGCUACUCAAUUUUGUAUUCUUGACUAAUAAAGUCAUAAACAUAAUGCAACCUCUGUGUGUGCUCUCCUUCCAUUAAUUUAUACUUUACCUAAAAGUAUUGAAUGUGUAUGUUAUAUAACAGUUUCCUAUAAAUGAUAUUAAAUGAUUUAUUAGUUUUAUUCAAUAAAGUUUUAAGUGUUUUCUUCUAUGACUACAUUACUUGUUAACAAGAAAUUUCUUUAUUUUUAACUGAAAACUUCAAGCGAGAUUAUCUGGGUAACUCUUUCAAACAGAAUUGUCCCUGUAUUUUGGGAUUGAAUAUAUUAAUUUCUUUUACUAUUUUAACAGGACAUAAUUUUACAAGACAAGCCACUUUUUCAAAUCCUGCUUCUCCUCCCAUUUUCCCUAUCUGUGUGAUUGGCACCUUCAACCCCUGUAGCCUGCCUCUGCUCUGUCUUAACCAAGUCCUACUGAUAUUACUUCCUAAGUAUUUUUCAGCCCUGUCCUUCCUCUCCAUCAGGAUGGACUCAUUUCCAGGUGAAAUCCUUAUGGUACCCUCCCUGGAUUAUUGCAGUAAUCAGAGAGUUGGUCUCCUUACCUCAGGAUUCACUUCUUCUCAUCUGUUGUUCACAGUGACAUCAGAAAGAUAUUUUAAAAUGUUGAACUAGAAUUAAUUAUAUAAAACACACACAUACACAUAAAUAGCACUUAAAUCCUUCAAUGAUGUUUCAAUUAUAUAAAAUAUAAUAUAGGAGGCACUUUAUGUUCUGGCCUCAAUCUUUCAAUUCAAACUUGUCUCCUGCCACUCUCUCCUUUGAACAUUGUAUUCCAGCUACUUUAGAAUAAUAAUAAUAUAUAAUAUUCAUGGAGCCCUUCCUGGGUUCCUAUCACUGGACAAAAUGCUUCACAUAUAUUAUAUCAUUUACUCUUUGACAACUUUAUUAGGUAGGUACUAUUACUAUCUAUAUUUUAUAGAUAAGAAAAAAGAGGGUAAAAACUUGCCAAAGUUACAAAGCUUAGAAGUGUACCAGUUGGGAUUUGAAUCUAGGCAUCCUGCCUCUGCAAUCCACAGUGGCUUUCUUGUGCCAAAAGGCUUGCAGUUCCCCAGACUUGACUUUCUCAAAAUCUGUCUUUCACAUGCUCUUCCAACUGUCUGGAAAAUCUUUCACAACCUCGUUCUACCUGUGGUACUCCUGUUCACCCCACAAGACUUGACUCCAUCUGUCCCCCCUCCAUGAAAGUUUCUCUGAAUCUCAGCACUUUGGGAGGCUGAGGCAGGUGAAUCGCCUGAGGUCAGAAGUUUGAGACCACCCUGGGCAACAUGGUGAAACCCCGUCUUUACUAAAAUACAAAAAACUAGCCAGGCAUGGUGGCGCACCCCUGUAAUUCCAGCUGCUCAGGAGGCUGAGGCUGGAGAAUUACUUGAUCCUGGGAGGCAGAGGUUGCAGUGAGCCAAGAUCACACCACUGCACUCCACCUUGGCUUACAGAGUGAGACUCCAUCAAAUAAAAAAGAAAGAAAGGAAGAAAAGAAAGGAAGGAAGGAAGGAAGGAAGAAAAAAAGGAAAAGGAAAGGAAGGAAGGAAGGGAAAGAAAGGAAAGAAGAGAAAAAGAAAAAAAGAGAGACAGAAAGUAAGAAAAAGAAAAAAGAAAGAGAAAAAGGAAAGAAAGAAAGAAGGAAGGAAAGGGAAAGAAAGAAGGAAAGAAAGAAAAAGAAAGAAAGAAAAGAAAG